AGUGAACGCUGGCGGUAGGCCUAACACAUGCAAGUCGAACGGCAGCACAGUAAGAGCUUGCUCUUACGGGUGGCGAGUGGCGGACGGGUGAGGAAUACAUCGGAAUCUACUUUUUCGUGGGGGAUAACGUAGGGAAACUUACGCUAAUACCGCAUACGACCUACGGGUGAAAGCAGGGGAUCUUCGGACCUUGCGCGAUUGAAUGAGCCGAUGUCGGAUUAGCUAGUUGGCGGGGUAAAGGCCCACCAAGGCGACGAUCCGUAGCUGGUCUGAGAGGAUGAUCAGCCACACUGGAACUGAGACCAGGUCCCGACUCCUAAGGGAGGCAGCCGUGGGGAAUAUUGGACAAUGGGCGCAAGCCUGAUCCAGCCAUACCGCGUGGGUGAAGAAGGCCUUCGGGUUGUAAAGCCCUUUUGUUGGGAAAGAAAAGCAGCAGGUUAAUACCCCGCUGUUCUGACGGUACCCAAAGAAUAAGCACCGGCUAACUUCGUG
rnacentral:rRNA from 1 species